rnacentral:rRNA from 1 species
AACGAACGCUGGCGGCAGGCCUAACACAUGCAAGUCGAACGCCCCGCAAGGGGAGUGGCAGACGGGUGAGUAACGCGUGGGAACCUACCCAGUGGUACGGAACAACCCAGGGAAACUUGGGCUAAUACCGUAUACGCACUUAGGGGGAAAGAUUUAUCGCCAUUGGACGGGCCCGCGUUGGAUUAGCUAGUUGGUGGGGUAAUGGCCUACCAAGGCAACGAUCCAUAGCUGGUCUGAGAGGAUGAUCAGCCACACUGGGACUGAGACACGGCCCAGACUCCUACGGGAGGCAGCAGUGGGGAAUCUUGGACAAUGGGCGCAAGCCUGAUCCAGCCAUGCCGCGUGAGUGAAGAAGGCCCUAGGGUUGUAAAGCUCUUUCGGCGGGGACGAUAAUGACGGUACCCGCAGAAGAAGCCCCGGCUAACUCCGUGCCAGCAGCCGCCGUAACAC